AAGUUGGCGACGGGCUCGCGCACUUUCGUUAUUUUUCCCUCCGGAAGUUAAGAUGCCCUCUGCUCCCAGGGGUUCUGGUUGCGACCUGUGACCCCGGGUCCGGGAGGAACCAGGGGUGGAACGGACAGGGCCUCCCCAAGCCUCUCCCCAACGGCGGGAGGCGCCGAAUUCCCCGCGGACCCGGGAGAAGGGCCAAGGUCUUGUCUGCUCUUGGGGCUCAGUCAGCACCCUUCUGUAUGAGAUGUGGGAUAACUAAGCCGUACCGCAUUCUGGUCCUCACCUGCACGGUCACGGGGUCGGCCCUCCUGUGGUGGGCCUUCAGCCUGUCCACCUGGGCGAGGGUGGACAUCCCUGACGGCCCCCGGGUCCUGUUCAGCGCGCUGUUUGCCAUCUGCAGUGAUGAGGUCAGGUGCUGGGUUCCUCCAUCCAAGUCAUCGCCCUUCUUCUCUCCUUCUUCCUGAACAUCACACUCCUGGCCUUCCCUAAUUCCCUUCCUGACACCUGGAAACAGUACUUUGUCUUCACCAUCACCUGCUUCAUCAUAGGUGUCUGUGUGUUCCUUACGUUGCUGCUGCACUCUCUGUAUAUUUGGAGAGUAACUGACGUUUUCAAGGAAGCGAAAGUCACCUUUCUCUACCCCACUUUCAUCCUCUCAGUCAGCAUCACGCUGUUUUUCCUGUCUGGAAUUCUCUGUUUCAUCAGCGCCCACCACUGUUGGUUUCGGUGGGUCCUGCAGCGGCCGAUUCAAGUGGAACCCAUGCAAACAUCCAUGGCCAGUCAUUGCCCCGUAACUGACACCGAGAGUAAACCGAGUGCAGACAGCUAGUCUACUCUCCGUGGCGAGCAGGCUAACCGUGGGAACCUCCUGUCUAGCCUGCACCUCAAGACUUCCCAGCUCCACGCUCUCUUGUUUAAUUGCUGUGGAAGACGAAAGAGUUGUCCCGCUUCUGACCAUCAUUCCGAUGAGGAUUAGGAUUCCAGGGACUUGGGUUUUCAUGUGAGAGAAGACACAGUCGGGGGUGGGGAGUGAUGAGUCUGCUUUGGGUCUCGGAGACUUGGAAUGAAAAGCUCCUCUCACCUUGAACCUGACCAAGGCCCACCCUCUCAUCUCAGUGUUUCCUGUGUCCUGCUAGGCGUGUCCUAACAGCAACGAAGCUCUUUCUCCACCUGUGUGGCCUGAAUUUUGAUAUAAAUUCUCUGCCCUCUGGUAAUUCCGUGAGAGUGAUCUUUUCACUGUCAUAUAACUCAGGGCUCUGUUGCUGGCAACAAAACCUCAUCUAAACUCACUUAAAUGACAACAAGAGAGUGAACUCACUGGACAGACGCAGGGAUAGUCCAUCGACCCAACAAAAGUCCUGGUAGGAUCAGGGCUACACAAGACUCGGGUGGAACCUGGAGCUCUUUCCUCCAGAACACUACUUUUUUUAACUAUUCGGUAAAGUUUAAUGGAAUUUCCUGACCCCUAAAUGCAAACCGUCUCCUAAGUUCCCCUUCUCAUCACUUCCAAAGCCUGUCCCUCCCCCUCAGCCAGACCUCUGCUCCCCUCUGAGCUCUGCACACACUGCGCCUGGGCCACUCCUGCCAGGCCAGGGGCUCCUAGUGGCCUCCCCACUGCGGUCUGUCUCCACCAUGCGACCAACCCCUCUUCUUAGAGCACAGAGCUGAGAAUGUGCUCCUUAAAAACCACUGUGCCUUGUUCUUACCUUCAGGAUAAAUUCCUUAUCUUGAUAAAUAAAGAUCUUUAUAAGUUGA